rnacentral:rRNA from 1 species
CCUACGGGUGGCAGCAGUGGGGAAUAUUGGGCAAUGGGCGCAAGCCUGACCCAGCAACGCCGCGUGAAGGAAGAAGGCUUUCGGGUUGUAAACUUCCUUUCUUAGGGACGAAGCAAGUGACGGUACCUGAGGAAUAAGCCACGGCUAACUACGUGCCAGCAGCCGCGGUAAUACGUAGGUGGCAAGCGUUAUCCGGAUUUAUUGGGUGUAAAGGGGGUGUAGGCGGGACUGCAAGUCAGAUGUGAAAACCACGGGCUCAACCUGUGGCCUGCAUUUGAAACUGUAGUUCUUGAGUACUGGAGAGGCAGACGGAAUGCCUGGUGUAGCGGUGAAAUGCGUAGAUAUUAGGAAGAACACCAGUGGCGAAGGCAGUCUGCUGGACAGCAACUGACGCUGAGGCGCGAAAGCGUGGGGAGCAAACAGGAUUAGAUACCCGUGUAGUC